rnacentral:rRNA from 1 species
CCUACGGGGGGCAGCAGUGGGGGAUAUUGCACAAUGGGGGAAACCCUGAUGCAGCGAUGCCGCGUGAGUGAAGACGGCCUUCGGGUUGUAAAGCUCUGUCGCAGGGGACGAAAAUGACGGUACCCUGCAAGAAAGCUCCGGCUAACUACGUGCCAGCAGCCGCGGUAAUACGUAGGGAGCAAGCGUUGUCCGGAAUUACUGGGUGUAAAGGGAGCGUAGGCGGGAGGAUAAGUUGAAUGUGAAAUCCAUGGGCUCAACCCAUGGCUGCGUUCAAAACUGUUCUUCUUGAGUGAAGUAGAGGCAGG